GUUCUUGCUUUGGCAGUACAUAGAUUAAGACUGGAAUGGUACAAAGAAUAGCAUGGCCUCUGUGCAAAGAUCACAUACAAAUUCAUAAAACAUUCCAUAUUUCA